CUGGAGCGGAGGAGGUUACCAUGGUAACAGCGCGUCAACUCACUCAGCUGAUAAGUAACGAGAAGCUGUCUCUCUGCUGUCUUCACUGCUUUCAGGUAAGUUUAGUCCCUAAAGUUACACAAAUAAUACAUACAACUGUUCCUGACACUUUCUUACAUGUUACUGACACGUUUCUGUUGAAUCUUUACUUUACAGGAGUGGUUUAGUGUCUUCAAAAAGACCGUUAGCAUCACAACCGUUAACUAUAGAGGCUAACAAUUAGAGGAGCGUCAGAAAAAAAUACCUAAAACAGGGGAAGUUACAAAACAAUUUGUAAUGUGAGCUGCUGACAGAGAUACAGGAAACACAGAGCUGGAGCGGAGCAGAUCUCCUGUCGAAGAACAUCUCCAAAGCACCAUGAACCAUCUGACUAGGCAGUUCGUGAAGACGGAUAACCUGGACAGAAGUCGGUUCCAGAUCCAGCCUCCACACCAGACAUCUCACUCACAAGGAUUGCUGUCUGCUAGAUAUUAUGUGUACUCUUCAGACUUAGGUUCAUGCAGAUAUUAUUCAGGGACAUGAACACUUGAAUACUGCAAAAAUAUACCUUAUUUAAGAAUUUUGUGUUAAUUGCGUGAACAUUAAACAAAUAUAUUUAUUUGACUGUUUUUUUGUUUUGUAUUCCAAAGCACCUAAAAGCCAGUUCACACUGCCAUACUCCAACAGGGU